UCUUUUAUUCAUUAAUCUGAAGAACCAAAAGGAAUUCAAACAAAGGACUAAAUAAAUAAAUUCCAACUAGCAGAAAGUUAAACACUAACUAAUUAAAUCAUUUAUCUUGAUGUAGUGUUGAGGAAUAACUAUAUAUGUAUUUAUACAUAUGGGUCUAGUCUAGGCAGAAAGUGGUCCAGGUCCUAACAGAAAAUAACAGAAGACGGAGACGACGAGAGCGACCAAAGCGUCGCCGGCGGAUAUCGUAGCAGACGCGCCAUUGUAAUCCCAACCACCAACACCACCAUAAACCGGCGGCGCGUUUUCAUGAUGCGCUCUGCAACCACUCACGUACACCGAGAUCAUCAGCUGGCUCAUCAUUAUUAUCACCAUCGCUCCCGCAACUUUCAUCACUCCCGAGAUCCUAGACAUGAUGAUGACCGAAUACUGCAACAAAAAUUACAUAUAUAUAUAUAUAUACACAUACCCAUUAGGAUAUAUUCAUAUAUUAAAGAUAACUCGAAUGCUCAUACAUGUAUAUAUGCAUAUAGGGUACCUUUUUUGAAAAUCAAAACAAAACGAGUGCAAUUAUAAGCUUCAAUGGUGACGAAGGUCAUAUAUUGCUAAUAUAUAGACAGGUGGAGGAGAGUGUACUUAAGAAAUAAUCUCCAUUAAUGUUCAUGCAUGAGAACUAUUAUUUACUAGGAAUUUUUUAAUUGAUUUAAUUAAUUAGAAUAAUUAAUCUUAUCAUCAUGAUAUACAUAUAUAUGUAAGCAUGCAUGACUUUUAUGUAAUUACUUGUAAAUCCUUGAUUAACUUUCUUUUAUUUUCUCAACAUACAUGAAGAAAAGAGAAUAUAGUUCAGCUAAGUUCAAAGAUCAAUCAAUAUUGAAACACAAAUCUUGAAUACUGAAAAUUAAGGGCUCGUGCAGAACUAUGUAAAUAAAUAUUUGUACACACACACACAUAUAUGUAUGUAUGUAUAUAAUAGUAAAGAGAAGAGGAGUAAUUGAUGUGACCUAUUUCCCUGAUCUUCUUCCUCUCUGUAAGUAGGAAGUAUAUAUGUACAGCAAAUUAAGUUAAAACGAUAUUGAAAGCCCUUGGAUGUCAUAUAUAGAGGAGAGAAAAUAAUCGAAAGGGGAAAAUAAUUUAAACAAAAAAGUAGGAGUCAAACUAGAAAGGAAAAUGAUCCUAACUUCUAAUUAGUAUUAGAUUCGGGUAAAAUAGGAAGGGCAGGAAAAUAUUUUGAGAGAUUUUUGUUAUAAUUAAUUUCACUAAUCAAUCCCGAUUAAGGAAAAUAUAAUAUGACCAAACACAGAUUUGGAAACCACGUGGGUCUUUGGAGGAGAAUAAUUGUUUGAACUUCAAUUUUUGACUUAAUUAAAUAUAUGAAAUAUAAAAUUGAAAGUUUGCACUUCAAUUUCUAAUGUUUGAACAAACAUAAUAAUUUAAUUUAAGAUAACAUGUAAGAACAUAUAAAAUAAAAUAAAAUUAAAAAAAAAUGCAUUAGAUCUUGAAAGAACAACAUAAAUAAAUAAAUAAAUAAAGAAUCUUGAUCCAAACUAAAGAGUAUGUGGUUCUUUAAUUUUAUUUAAAAUACCACUCUUUAUAAUUGAAUUUUCAAUGAAGUUCAUAAAUUAAAUUUAUUUGUACUAUAAACGUAGUCUAAAAAUAUAUUUUAAAAAUAUAAUUCAUUAAUUCUAAAUAAAAUUUUAAAAUCCAACAUUUAUGUAAUUUAUUAGCAAUUUGCGGGUGUAACACCUAGUAAAAACAUUGUAUUAUUCCACUAUUGAUUUUUAACUCGCUAAAGACUUAAAUUAUACAUCACUUUAGUUUAACACAUGACUAUUUCGGGCAAUGACAUUAAUUUAGUAUCACAUUUUAUGAUAAUAUAGUACGAAUUUCAUUCCAUAGUCAACUCAAAUAUUUGCCAACUUAAUGAUAAAAAUGUUACCCUGAAUGUUUGAAUUGAUGCGAGUUAUAAAAUGCAGCAUUGAAAAUAAGAAAGCUCAAAUAGACCCAAGGAUGAGGAUAUGUUUGGAAAGGGACGACAAGCAUCUUGCGGCAUUAAUUACAGAGAAAGAGGAUGACAAUGGUGUUCAUGUUUUUUUGAAAAAAUUAAUUUUCUAUAAUAAAUAUAACUCAUGUGGUAUUAUGAUUUUUAAUAGUUUGAUAACAAAUCUCACAAUAAAUGUUAUUAAUGACCUUAAAUUUUUAUCAUACUUUCAAUAAAAAUAUAAAAUCAUACAUGAAUAUUCACAUCAUAUAAAAUAAUUUAUCCAUAUUUCUCAGCAGACACACACCUAGCAUAGCAGUACUCUCUCUAUCACCUCCCUCCCUCAACCAAUUGAGACACGACCAAACAUUCUCUCCAGAUUAUAACCCUACCAAUGGAGACAGAAUCAAACACCCAGAUUAUAACCCUCAUACCUGUCAAAGUCCACUUGGGCUUUUAUCAUAAUGUCUGCUAAUGGUUGUACUAAGCUGACUGAAGCUUUAACCCACGAUGGUCAUGCCCUAAUCUCCUUUCAGAAAGACUCUCAGAUCCUACUCCUGNN
rnacentral:lncRNA from 1 species